rnacentral:rRNA from 1 species
GGUUUUUUGUGGGUGAUGAAAAAUCUGACCUGCCCAAUGGGGGGAUUGAAUGGCCGCAGUAUUUUGACUGUGCUAAGGUAGCAUAAUAAUUAGUCUUGUGAUUUAGGACUGGUAUGAAUGGUUGGACGAGGGACGAACUGUUUCUAGGAAAUUAGUUGAAUUUGGUGAUGUUGUGAGAAGGCAACUGGAGAGUUGAGGGACGAGAAGACCCUAUUGAGUUUUACAGUAGUUAAAGUUUUAGUUUUUAUUUCUAUAAGCUUUAGUUUGAUUUAUUGUUUUGCUGGGGCGGUGCUGAUGAGAUUUAAUCUUUUAGUUGAAUGUAAUAUUGGUUUAUUGGACUAUGGAUCCAAGGUUUUUCUUGAUAAGUGGAUUAAAUUACUGUAGGGAUAACAGCGUAAUUUGGUCAGAGAGUUCUUAUUGAUGAUUGAGUUUGCGACCUCGAUGUUGAAUUAAAAUAUCUGUUUGGUGAAGAAGCUAAGUAAGAGAGUCUGUUCGACUAUUGAAUUUUUACA